rnacentral:rRNA from 1 species
CACGUAGGCGGACUGAACAGUCAGAGGUGAAAUCCCAGGGCUCAACCUUGGAACUGCCUUUGAAACUAUCAGUCUGGAGUUCGAGAGAGGUGAGUGGAAUUCCGGGUGUAGAGGUGAAAUUCGUAGAUAUUCGGAGGAACACCAGUGGCGAAGGCGGCUCACUGGCUCGAUACUGACGCUGAGGUGCGAAAGCGUGGGGAGCAAACA